GUUGUAUAGUCAAGUAAUGAAGUGCACAUGGUGGAUGCCUUGGCAGUCAGAGGCGAUGAAAGACGUGACAGCCUGCGAAAAGCGUCGGGGAGGCGGCAAUAUCCUGUGAUCCGGCGAUAUCUGAAUGGGGAAACCCACUUGUCAUAAGACAGGUAUCGUAAAUUUAUUUACGAGGCAAACCGGGAGAAGUGAAACAUCUCAGUAACCCGAGGAAAAGACAUCAAUAGAGAUUCCCCUAGUAGCGGCGAGCGAACGGGGAGGAGCCGACUGAUUAUAAUUUAGAGGAAUGACUUGGAAAGGUCAAUCGUAGAGGGUGAUAAUCCCGUACUCGAAAGGUUAUAAGAAGCAUAUUAAGUAGGGCGGAACACGAGAAAUUCUGUCUGAAGAUGGGGGGACCAUCCUCCAAGGCUAAAUACUCCUGACUGACCGAUAGUGAACCAGUACCGUGAGGGAAAGGCGAAAAGAACCCCUGUGAGGGGAGUGAAAUAGAACCUGAAACCGUGUGCAUACAAGCAGUCGGAGCGGACAUGUUCCGUGACGGCGUACCUUUUGUAUAAUGGGUCAGCGACUUAUAUUCUGUAGCAAGGUUAACCGAAUAGGGGAGCCGUAGGGAAACCGAGUCUUAAUAGGGCGUCUAGUUGCAGGGUAUAGACCCGAAACCGAGUGAUCUAUCCAUGAGCAGGUUGAAAGUGACGUAACAGUUACCGGAGGACCGAACCCACUGUCGUUGAAAAGCCAGGGGAUGACUUGUGGAUAGGGGUGAAAGGCUAAUCAAACUCGGUGAUAGCUGGUUCUCCCCGAAAGCUAUUUAGGUAGCGCCUCGGACGAACACCAUUGGGGGUAGAGCACUGUUUCGGCUAGGGGGUCAUCCCGACUUACCAAACCGAUGCAAACUCCGAAUACCGAUGAGUGAUAUCCGGGAGACAGACGGCGGGUGCUAACGUCCGUCGUCAAGAGGGAAACAACCCAGACCGCCAGCUAAGGCCCCAAAUUCCUAGUUAAGUGGGAAACGAUGUGGGAAGGCACAGACAGCUAGGAGGUUGGCUUAGAAGCAGCCACCCUUUAAAGAAAGCGUAAUAGCUCACUAGUCGAGUCGGCCUGCGCGGAAGAUGUAACGGGGCUCAAACUAGGAGCCGAAGCUGCGGAUUUAAUUGUUUCAAUUAAGUGGUAGGGGAGCAUUGUGUAAGCCUGUGAAGGUGUGUUGUAAAGCAUGCUGGAGGUAUCACAAGAGCGAAUGCUGACGUGAGUAACGACAAAACGGGUGAAAAGCCCGUUCGCCGGAAGACCAAGGGUUCCAGUCCAACGUUAAUCGGGGCUGGGUGAGUCGACCCCUAAGGCGAGGCCGAAAGGCGUAGUCGAUGGGAAAUCGGUUAAUAUUCCGAUACUUGUUUAUGAUGCGAUGGAGGGACGGAGAAGGUUAUGCCAGCUUGGCGAUGGUUGUCCAAGUGGAAGGAUGUAGUUAGGUUUAGUAGGCAAAUCCGCUAGACUAUUAAUGAGAUCUGAUAGCAAGCUGUACUUGUACAGCGAAGUGGCAAAUACCCUGCUUCCAGGAAAAGCUUCUAAGCGAUAGUCAUAAAGAAAUCGUACCCGAAACCGACACAGGUGGUCAGGUAGAGAAUACCAAGGCGCUUGAGAGAACUCUGCUGAAGGAACUAGGCAAAAUGGUACCGUAACUUCGGGAGAAGGUACGCUGCCGAUGGUGAGUAGACAUGCUCUACAAAGCUAUUGGCAGUCGCAGAUACCAGGCCGCUGCAACUGUUUAUUAAAAACACAGCACUCUGCAAACACGAAAGUGGACGUAUAGGGUGUGAUGCCUGCCCGGUGCUGGAAGGUUAAUUGAUGGGGUUAGCGUAAGCGAAGCUCUUGAU
rnacentral:rRNA from 1 species